UGCAUUAGUACAUGCUAACGAUAUUCAAAAAGUACAUACCUCAAAGAAAACGAUGACGCGAGUUAUCGUCUCUAACGUUCGAGGACUACAAAAAACACUCGGAUUGUAGGCAACAGUUUACUUCCUGGGAUUAGUGACGUAGAUAAGACCAACAUUAUCAUAGUUCAGCCCUCUCUGCUUUGCUUGGGUACACGCCUUCAAAGACGAGGGUGGGGUGGGGAGCGCCGAGUCAGAAGAGAGCUAAAAUGGCGGAGGUUGGGAGUCCCUGCUUUGACUCUGUUUGCAAACUCUUGUUUCAUUGUUUAAGCGAUUAAAUCUCUCGAGUAGACGCUGUCUCUUUAGAUGCGAGGGCAAAAUAGCACUUUAUGGACUUCCACAGAGGACAUCAUGUUUAAUACGGUUCCGGAAAAAUCCAGUCAGAAGUUGUUCACGGAGUUUUCACAAUAACUGCUUCUCAUGAACCGAAGCUGGAUUUGCGCGACGUCUCCUCUUGAAAGUUGGAUUACUGUGCACUUCUGGAUCACAGACUAUUCGCAGCUGUACACAUCCUUCUACACUGUAUGCAAACAUGCAACUUCAUUACACACAGUACAAGGAGUCAGACUGGCAUAUGAGGAGCAAAGGAACCCAGGCAGUAGCAUCGUUUCACAAUGUUUCCAUCAUCAUCAUCAGUGGAUGCCUUUGCCGUCCGUAGCCUGAGAUUUCAGAUUUGCAGCAAAAAAAAUGAUUUUCUCAUUUAUUGGAAUGCUGUGCAGGUAUUUGUACCUUGCAGCCAUCCAUUACAAUGUCACCAAGCCGUAACAAAAGCAGGAGAGGGAAAGUACAAGGCUAUGUUCCCAAAACACAAAUGACAUACCUUAUGUGAAGGAUGUGAUCAGGCUUGUGUUUGAUGAGGUAUUUGAAGAUAAGCUGAAGGAAACCCAGAUUCCAAUGGACCUGGCAUCACAGUUUGAGAGACCUUCAAAGGAGGA